GCUCUAUUUUUAAUAUAAUAAAAUAUACUUUUAGGUCCUUUUUUUCUCCAUACUCCGUCUCAUUUCCAAAAACCCCAACCGCCCCCGCCCCCCUUCCCAUGACUCUUUCUCCUCCUCUCACUACCAUAAUCCCUAGCUUCCACCGAUUGCCGUCAUUUGCCGCUCCACCACCACCACCCAGGUACCCAGUCCGCUCUCCAAGGGCUGCAAUUUGUAAUAGUAGUGGAUUGGACUUAGUUAAUUUUGUGCAGGGAGAAAGAUGAGAGUUGCUUAUUGAAAACUAUCAUAUUGUGAAGAUAUAGAGUAAGGUGUUAAAGGUACGGGGAAAGUUGUAGCUACUGUAAUAAUUUUCAUCUUUUGAUGGUCCUAAGCAACUUCAGAUGAGUUAUAUUAAGGCCUAAUUAGACGAAUUACUUGCAUUGGGGAAUUUCCCAUAUCUCGGUGAUGCAGACCUCCCAAAUUUCGAUGUAUUCAGCUCAAGUAUAUGGUCAAUACAGAGGUUGAGAGAUGAGCCCACUAAUGCAGAGGAUGGGGAUCAUGUGGCAAAGAUACUGCUACAUUAUUGAAGUUUCGUAUUAUAUUAAAUAGACUAAAUUAUGUGCUUUGUGAUGAUUUGUAAGAAUUAUUAAGUAUUUUGUGAAUGUACGAAAAUUUUGAAGUAGUUUGAAAUGAAAGUGUAUAACUUAUGACUUCUUUGUAAUUUUUAUUCAAUUUUGCAUUGCU